AUUGAACGCUGGCGGCAGGCCUAACACAUGCAAGUCGGACGGUAGCACAGAGGAGCUUGCUCCUCGGGUGACGAGUGGCGGACGGGUGAGUAAUGUCUGGGGAUCUGCCUGAUAGAGGGGGAUAACCACUGGAAACGGUGGCUAAUACCGCAUAACGUCGCAAGACCAAAGAGGGGGACCUUCGGGCCUCCCACUAUCGGAUGAACCCAGAUGGGAUUAGCUAGUAGGCGGGGUAACGGCCCACCUAGGCGACGAUCCCUAGCUGGUCUGAGAGGAUGACCAGCCACACUGGAACUGAGACACGGUCCAGACUCCUACGGGAGGCAGCAGUGGGGAAUAUUGCACAAUGGGCGCAAGCCUGAUGCAGCCAUGCCGCGUGUAUGAAGAAGGCCUUCGGGUUGUAAAGUACUUUCAGCGGGGAGGAAGGCGAUGUGGUUAAUAACCGCAUUGAUUGACGUUACCCGCAGAAGAAGCACCGGCUAACUCCGUGCCAGCAGCCGCGGUAA
rnacentral:rRNA from 1 species